GGUCAUCAGUGUCACCCCCGAGGGCUACCGGGUGCUGGUGAACGGGACUUUCUACGAGGAGUUCCCGCACCGGCUGCCCCCGGAGCAGGUGAUGAGCGUGACCGUGGACGGGAGCCUGCAGCUGCACUCGGCCUCGGUGCUGGGGGGCACGGGCGCGGGUCCCCAGUGCUGCCCGGACAUGCCCCAGACCACCCCCGCGUACCCCAACUGUAACCUGCCGGUGAUGGGGCAGCCCCCAACCCUGCACCCG